CUUCGGGUGAGCGGCGGACGGGUGAGUAACGCGUGGGAAUAUGCCCUUCUCUACGGAAUAGCCUCGGGAAACUGAGAGUAAUACCGUAUACGCCCUUCGGGGGAAAGAUUUAUCGGGGAUGGAUUAGCCCGCGUUGGAUUAGGUAGUUGGUGGGGUAAUGGCCUACCAAGCCUACGAUCCAUAGCUGGUUUUAGAGGAUGAUCAGCCACACUGGGACUGAGACACGGCCCAGACUCCUACGGGAGGCAGCAGUGGGGAAUCUUAGACAAUGGGCGCAAGCCUGAUCUAGCCAUGCCGCGUGAGUGAAGAAGGCCUUAGGGUCGUAAAACUCUUUCGCUGGGGAAGAUAAUGACGGUACCCAGUAAAGAAGCCCCGGCUAACUCCGUGCCAGCAGCCGCGG
rnacentral:rRNA from 1 species